rnacentral:rRNA from 1 species
GAUCCUGGCUCAUGAUGAACGCUAGCUACAGGCUUAACACAUGCAAGUCGAGGGGCAGCGGGAUUGAAGCUUGCUUCAAUUGCCGGCGACCGGCGCACGGGUGAGUAACGCGUAUCCAACCUUCCGUACAYUCAGGGAUAGCCUUUCGAAAGAAAGAUUAAUACCUGAUGGUAUGAUGAGAUUGCAUGAUAGCAUCAUUAAAGAUUUAUCGGUGUACGAUGGGGAUGCGUUCCAUUAGGUAGUAGGCGGGGUAACGGCCCACCUAGCCAACGAUGGAUAGGGGUUCUGAGAGGAAGGUCCCCCACAUUGGAACUGAGACACGGUCCAAACUCCUACGGGAGGCAGCAGUGAGGAAUAUUGGUCAAUGGACGAGAGUCUGAGCCAGCCAAGUAGCGUGAAGGAUGAAGGUCCUACGGAUUGUAAACUUCUUUUAUAAGGGAAUAAACCCUCCCACGUGUGGGAGCUUGUAUGUACCUUAUGAAUAAGCAUCGGCUAACUCCGUGCCAGCAGCCGCGGUAAUACGGAGGAUGCGAGCGUUAUCCGGAUUUAUUGGGUUUAAAGGGAGCGCAGACGGGUCGUUAAGUCAGCUGUGAAAGUUUGGGGCUCAACCUUAAAAUUGCAGUUGAUACUGGCGUCCUUGAGUGCGGUUGAGGUGUGCGGAAUUCGUGGUGUAGCGGUGAAAUGCUUAGAUAUCACGAAGAACUCCGAUUGCGAAGGCAGCACACUAAUCCGUAACUGACGUUCAUGCUCGAAAGUGUGGGUAUCAAACAGGAUUAGAUACCCUGGUAGUCCACACGGUAAACGAUGGAUACUCGCUGUUGGCGAUAUACUGUCAGCGGCUUAGCGAAAGCGUUAAGUAUCCCACCUGGGGA